UACGGAGGGUGCGAGCGUUGUCCGGAAUCACUGGGCGUAAAGGGCGCGUAGGCGGCGCGGGAAGUCAUCGGUGAAAGUUCAGGGCUCAACUCUGAAUCGGCCGGUGAUACUCUCGUGCUCGAGCACUGUAGAGGCAGGUGGAAUUCCGGGUGUAGCGGUGGAAUGCGUAGAGAUCCGGAAGAACACCGGUGGCGAAGGCGGCCUGCGCUGGGCAGUGAGCUGACGCUGAUGCGCGACAGCGUGGGGAGCAAACAGG
rnacentral:rRNA from 1 species